UUGCAUUUCAUGUUGUUUAUGGUGAAGUGGGUUGCGUAGCGUCAAACAUUUUCUAUAAAUGGCGGAGCUUCGGCUACAGUUCUUUUCACCUUGGACGUUAGACAAACUUUGCGAAGCAUUGAGAAAUUAAUACUAUCCAUUGCUUGUCAGUCAUUUCUUCGUUACACAGUGAAGUAACCUAUAGUGGUAUACGAAUAAAACGCGGCUGCUGUUCGCAUUAUUGAGACUCGUAUGUUCUACGUGCGUUAAUAAAUUUGUAUUGGCGCUAGACUAGACGGGAAUAAUAAGCCAUUGCUGUGGGAUCGUUUAUCGUUAUUCACCUAGAGGAUUACAUAUGCUUUGGGAAUACAGUGCUUUAUAAAUCGUAUUUGGGAAGUAUGUCUUCGAACUUCUUCAAGGAAACUACCUAGAGAAUCACGUCCAAGAUGGUGGCAUUGACCCACUUAGAAUGCAUUGGGCAAGAAGACCUUCUUGGCAUCCCACUAACAUAAUCGCGACACGACCACGGCGACGGCGGCAACAGCAAAAACCAGGAACGCUUCCCAACUGGGUUCCGCAAUUUUUGAUUGCGUCGAGCCUCCGAGUUGCCUGUGACGCGUCGACCGUCAACGCAGUGGAAUAAAUUGGAGUGAGAAAGAUGCAAAUCGUUACCGUUCUCUCUGGACAUGAUUCAUCCUUAUCGACAUACGUCGAUAUAUACCGUGUGUAGAAUUUUACAAGAUCUUGUGAUUUUACAUUUAAAGACAAAAAAAUGCAAAUGCCAAUUUCGAAAAGUAUCCGUCUUGGAAAAUUGAUUGCAUAAUUACAAAUUUCCACCGAAUCUAUAAAACAAGCACGGAGACCGUAGAAAUCGCAUCUAACGUAUCAUGGGACAGUAGUCCUAAAGAAAAAUAAUGUAAUUGAUAAUAAUAUCACGAAUCAGUUGACUAUACACGAUUUGAAUACACGAUUGAAUUGCAUUAUCGAUCCUCGUUGAAACUCAACGAAUAUGCAGGCACGAAUAAAUUGAGGAAAAAAAAUGAACAGCUCGAAAAGCAAUACGUAAGAAUAUUCCCAUAUGUAUACAGGCGAAUAUCGGUAGGCUUGACGUCUGGUUGUGUUUAUGAAGUACAAUUGUAAGUAAUCGAAGAACGAAGAGAAAGGAGAUAUAAAGAGAUAACGAUAGUCCGUUCGAUAGCAAGAAGAGAUCAGUCGGUCGUUCUUUGUGACGGAUCAAUUUUGGCCCCAAUAUCCAUCCAUGAAUUUGUACAUACUUUUGUAUUAUAUUUAAGGAAUGCUAAUACUGAAUAAAGCAUAUAUCUGUUAA